AAGGGUGGUGGGAAUGGGUGAUUGGCUGAUAGGAAUGGUAAACCUGUUGACGACUGUUAGCGACUGCAAUUGGUCUUACAGGAAAAAGCAAGACCAAUUGCAAUCAGCCAAGUAAAGUGCACAAAAAUACACAUUUUAUGUGUGUGUAAAUAAUAUAAAAGAAUGAGUUGCGUUAAAACCAUUGCUUUACAGGAAUGUUUAUAUUAGGCAAAAUUUCAUUCAAAGCUGUGUGGAUUAGAAGCUUGAAUUAAAAUGCAGAUGACUUUUCAUGAGGACUGGUUUGCAGAUUGGUGUGAAGAAACUUGAAAAAUAAGCAACUGAGAGAAACCAUAACUGACAGAUUCACCCAUCCCUGCCUUCCUAUAGUGUCUCCCACUCCAGGUCAAACUGCAAAACCACCAGUGGCCCCGAAAGUCCGUCUGCUCCAUUCCUCCUGCGAUUCCAGAUCCGGUGGUGCCCCCAUUGAGCUGCUCUGCAUUAUCUCCAGGUUUUACCCCCAAAUGGUGACAGUGGAUUGGCUGGUGGGUGGAGAAGCCGGACAGCUGGUUGCAUUGACUGAUGAGCCCAAGAAGGAUGACCACGGAUACACUUUCAGUACCACAAGCACCGUCAAUGUUAGCCAAGCAGACUGGCAGGCUGGGAAGGUCUACUACUGCCAGGUGUUCCAUGAAGCAACACAAACAAAGGUGAAGAGCAGAGCCAAGAUAUGCGAAGAGGUGGCUGUGUCAACAAUGGAUGAUUAUAGCGAUGAGAAAGAGGAGGAAAUGGAUCGUCUCUGGGUCACCAUCUUUGUUUUCUUCAUUCUCUUCCUCCUCAGUGUUUCUUACAGUGCCACCAUUACACUGUUCAAAGUAAAAUGGCUCUUCUCCGCUGUGGUGGUCCUGAAAAAACAGCCAGGAGGCCCUGACUAUAAGAAUGUGCUCCAAUGAGUGUCCUAGAAGCAUUUCCCUGGGAGCUCUUGUCCUAUACUCUGAGCGGUGCAAAGAAGAAGUCACUGGCUGGAGAUGGGACUCCGUUUCCAGCAUUAACAACCAAAGCUUCUCUCUGCUGUCUGCUUCUCUCCCCUGGUAGGGGGACAAUGAAACCCCAUCAAAUGAAUGACAGAGAGGCAAUUUUGUUAGAACUUGGAGCUGGACUCGUCAUAUGUCAUUUGCUGAGACUGCACUCCCAAGACAGGAAGCCUACUGGCCCUAUGUAUACAUCUGUUUUCCACAGUGACUGUCAAGAAGAGCAAGCAGGACUCCCAACCCAAGGUGUGGAGACAGUCACACAGGCCUUGAGAAAGGAGUUUGGGGCAUCUACUCAGCAUUAGGUCCUCCUGAGUUCAAUGGGACAUACAUCUAAGUAUACAUAUGACUGCAGCCUGGGUAUCCACUGGACCCACCCCAUUUCAGAGCUUCACUUCUCCUCUCAACCCCAUGUUCUGCCAUAUACUGUGCCUGCUCAUCCAACGUACCCUCAUCACUAGCAGGCAUCCAGCCUCAACCAGCUAUUGGACACACUGACCUGUCCUUCUUUAGCCAAAUCCACCUAAGCACUCUACAUGAAUGUCCUAUUCUGAAUAUUGUCCUUCCCUAUACUGAAUAUUUUGAUCCAUCAGUUUUAAGACCCACCCAACACCAACAAUUUGUUCUUCCUCAGCCCCAUGACUGGCACUGAGGACAUUUAUCCUCUUUUAAAUAUUACAUGUUUUGUGGUCACAACCAGGCACAGCGGGACGCAUACACCUAAACAUUUUGUUUUGCCCCAACUGACCGACAGACGGAUGGACAUGCCAGCUGUCUCCGCAGUAGCAGCGCAGACUGGAGCUCCGUCAUUCUCCCUGGGGAGGGGAGUCUGGGGCAGCUGUGGUGGAGGUUACAGGACUGCUGCUCCUCCUCUUGUCGGGCUAGAGGCAGCCGAUGAGCACUUGCCCCUCCUCGCUCAAGCCAACCCUGCCGCUGCCGCUGCCAGGGGCCUUCCUGUCCUCUCGGCGCCACCGCUACUUUCUAGCUAUUUUUUAGCUAGUUUCUGCUAUUUUCAUAUAUUGGAUGU